ACCUCGGAUCAGGGGGGAUACCCUCUGAACUUCAUAUAUCAAUAAGCGAGAGAA
rnacentral:rRNA from 1 species